UUUCUUUUCUUUUUUAUGCUAUUGUAUUAGCCAUACAUAAAUAGAGUGAACACUCUUCUGAUGGGUUGGUGGUGAGGAGCUAACUCCUUCCAGCAUGACGGACACCUGGGAUCCCAAAACAGCUGGGCUGGUAGGGCCCUCGAGAAACGAACUACCAACACGUGCCCUGUGUCAGGCCCGGAAGAGCCUGCCCCUGAAAGAUGAAGUCCUCGCCACAUUGGGAGUUGCAUAUUAUAGAUUCCUGGAUCUCUCCAAUGUCUUUUCUCCCUCAUCAGCAUUGAGCGCCACUGGCGACAGAAAUUCUUCCCCUCCACUAGCGAGUGAAGGCACGAGACAUUUCCCGGCAGGUCGUCAGAAGCGGGUGGCGAGGAAAGAAGGAAAGACACUCUCCCUUUCCCUCUGCUCUCAUUUUGGACAGUUGGUGGAGAUGCACAUUUCAGCAGCUCAUGUUCUUUCUCUGUUGAGCUAAGGAAGGGACUACGUCCCCCAGCAGGCACUGGCACAGAGGAUGUGCUAGGCCGCCAUCUUAUUGUAGUCCUUUCUCCUGUUUCCACAAGCAGUAGCCUUAGCGAAUGAACUACAAGUCCCGGGUCACUGUCUCCCGUUUUCUCCAGCGGCCAUCUUUGCUGGUAGACGCCGCCCCUUUCCCCUUCCAUUGUCUGGUCAAAGAAAAGAGAAGGGAGCCGGGAAGACUGCAACUCCCGUCAAGCUUUGCCCCAACAGGAGGGGAAUUUCGAUAUUACUGGCGGGCGAGGUGCCAAGGUGGUUGAGUGAGGCGACUGCGAGAAGCUAGGUUGCCUGCCAUUUUUAUGGUAGUCCCCUUAGCCUCUUGACCCUGCCAUUCUUAACGAACUCUACAAGGCUCAGUUCAGUUCAGUUCAGGUCAGUCGCUUAGUCGUGUCCGACUCUUUGCGACCCCAUGAAUCGCCGCACGCCAGGCCGCCCUGUCCAUCACCAACUCCCGGAGUUCACCCAGACCCACGUCCAUCAAGUCCGUGAUGCCAUCCAGCCAUCUCAUCCUCUGUCGUCCCCUUCUCCUCCUGCUCCCAAUCCCUCCCAGCAUCAGAGUCUUUUCCAGUGUGUCAACUCUUCUCAUGAGGUGGCCAAAGUACUGGAGUUUCAGCUUUAGCAUCAUUCCUUCCAAAGAAAUCCCAGGGCUGAUCUCCUUCAGAAUGGACUGGUUGGAUCCCCUUGCAGUCCAAGGGACUCACAAGAGUCUUCUCCAACACCACAGUUCAAAAGCAUCAAUUCUUCGGCGCUCAGCUUUCUUCACAGUCCAACUCUCACAUCCAUACAUGACCACUGGAAAACCAUAGCCUUGACUAGACGGACCUUUGUUGGCAAAGUAAUGUCUCUGCUUUUGAAUAUGCUAUCUAGCUUGGUCAUAACUUUUCUUCCAAGGAAUAAGCGUCUUUUAAUUAUGUGGCUCAGUCACCAUCUACAGUGAUUUUGUAGCCCAAAAAAAUAAAGUCUGACACUGUUUCCACUGCUUCCCAUCUAUUUCCCAUGAAGUGAUGGGACCGGAUGCCAUGAUCUUUGUUUUCUGAAUGUUGAGCUUUAAGCCGACUUUUUCACUCUCCACUUUCGCUUUCAUCAAGAGCCCUGUUAGUUCCUCUUCACUUUUUGCCAUAAGAAUGGUGUCAUCUGCCUAUCUGAGGUUAUUGAUAUUUCUCCCGGCAAUCUUGAUUCCAGCUUGUGCUUCUUCCAGCCCAGCGUUUCUCAUGAUGUAUUCUGCAUAGAAGUUAAAUAAGCAGGGUGACAAUAUACAGCCUUGACGUAUUCCUUUUCCUAUUUGGAACCAGUCUGUUGUUCCAUGUCCAGUUCUAACUGUUGCUUUCUGACCUGCAUAUAGGUUUCUCUAGAAGGCUAGGAAACUACUGUUCCCAUCGCACCUCGUAAGAUGGACUGCUAGUCAGGUGUCCGCCCGUCUUCCGCCAUCCUGUUUGUAGUCAUCGUUCCCACGCCUCUACGCUCUGAAACCCGGAGCCUUGGGGCAACCGGACUAUAAAUCCCGG
ensembl:lncRNA